GACUGGAUAUGGAAGCGCUUUACGCUUCCUGUACAGCAGGUGGCGGUAUUCACCAAAGACCUGUAGUCCGCCAAAAAGCUAAGAAAAGAAGAAUAAGAUGAAGAAGAAGAAGAAGGCGAAGUAGUAGAAGUAAAAGUUUCGCUUUCCACAAGGAUUUACGAGGCACAUUAGUCCACCAGAAUUGCACCAUCAGCUACCAUGUGACACGGGAUUCUGGUUAAGAGCACUUGCAGCUAUCGGCCCGGGUCCAAUUCGUGGCCAGUUGCAGUAAUCAUAUCUGCCACAGCUGCCGCUUCAUCAGAGAUCCUGCGAUGACUGGAUUCCUGGAGAGCUGCCACAUCAUCAGACGAUGGCCUCGUUCAAAGGUAUCAGUCAGGAAAAGGGUAGACAAGAAUUUCCAAGCAAGAAAAUAUGGCACAGCGGCGACAAUGCCACGAAGUGCACGUCCCCCCCCAAAAUUGCUGACAAGACAAGAUGAAAUUUCUUCAAUCUGCAGCGUUAGACUCUGACAAGAUGGAGGCAGGAGAUGAAUGCGACGACUUGCUUUGAUGGCGGCGCCACACACAAAGCCUAAAAGACAUCAGUCAUCUUAGUGCCACGUUAAAUCAUGUCCUUAAAACACAAAUGAUUGCACAAACAAGAAAACAAAUCACAAAAUGUCUCACUAGAUGACAACAUUACAUGAAAGAGCUGUACAUUUUUUUUUCGAAGCACGCUUCCAAAGUAACCAGACGGAUGAUGUAAGACUUAAAAAAAAAAAAAA